UAAGUAUAAGCAAUCUAUACUGUGAAAUGCGAAUGGCUCAUUAAAUCAGUUAUCGUUUAUUUGAUAGUACCUUACUACAUGGAUAACCGUGGUAAUUCUAGAGCUAAUACAUGCUAAAAACCCCGACUUCGGAAGGGGUGUAUUUAUUAGAUAAAAAAACCAAUGCCCUUCGGGCUCCUUGGUGAUUCAUGAUAACUUAACGAAUCGCAUGGCCUUGCGCCGGCGAUGGUUCAUUCAAAUUUCUGCCCUAUCAACUUUCGAUGGUAGGAUAGUGGCCUACCAUGGUUUUAACGGGUAACGGGGAAUUAGGGUUCGAUUCCGGAGAGGGAGCCUGAGAAACGGCUACCACAUCCAAGGAAGGCAGCAGGCGCGCAAAUUACCCAAUCCGACACGGGGAGGUAGUGACAAUAAAUACUGAUACAGGGCUCUUUUGGGUCUUGUAAUUGGAAUGAGUACAAUUUAAAUCCCUUAACGAGGAACAANNNNNNNGCAAGUCUGGUGCCAGCAGCCNNNNNNNNNNNNNNNCCAAUAGCGUAUAUUAAAAAUAUUGCAGUUAAAAAGCUCGUAGUUGAACCUUGGGCCUGGCUGGCGGUCCGCCUAACCGCGUGUACUGGUCCGGCCGGGCCUUUNCUUCUGGGGAGCCGCAUGCCCUUCACUGGGUGUGUCGGGGAACCAGGACUUUUACUUUGAAAAAAUUAGAGUGUUCAAAGCAGGCCUAUGCUCGAAUACAUUAGCAUGGAAUAAUAGAAUAGGACGUGCGGUUCUAUUUUGUUGGUUUCUAGGACCGCCGUAAUGAUUAAUAGGGAUAGUCGGGGGCAUCAGUAUUCAAUUGUCAGAGGUGAAAUUCUUGGAUUUAUUGAAGACUAACUACUGCGAAAGCAUUUGCCAAGGAUGUUUUCAUUAAUCAGUGAACGAAAGUUAGGGGAUCGAAGACGAUCAGAUACCGUCGUAGUCUUAACCAUAAACUAUGCCGACUAGGGAUCGGGCGAUGUUAUUAUUUUGACUCGCUCGGCACCUUACGAGAAAUCAAAGUCUUUGGGUUC
rnacentral:rRNA from 1 species